rnacentral:rRNA from 1 species
AGCGAACGCUAGCGGCGGGCCUAACACAUGCAAGUCGAGCGGGGGAGCAAUCCCCAGCGGCGGACGGGUGAGUAACACGUAGGUUAUGUGCCCUUUGGUGGGGAAUAACCGUGGGAAACCAUGGCUAAUUCCGCAUAUCGAGCGAAAUCUUGAAAGCCUUCGGGCGCCAAAAGGAGCAACCUGCGGCCCAAUUAGCUUGUUGGUAGGUAACGGCCUACCAAGGCGAUGAUGGGUAGCUGGUCUGAGAGGAUGAUCAGCCACACUGGAACUGAGACACGGUCCAGACUCCUACGGGAGGCAGCAGUGGGAAUAUUGCGCAAUGGGCCAAAGCCUGACGCAGCCACGCCGCGUGAGUGAUGAAGGCCUUCGGGUCGUAAAACUCUGUCGGGAGGGACGAAGGGGCGAACCCUGACGGUACCUCGCAA